rnacentral:lncRNA from 1 species
UCUUAAAGAUCUUUCCCACCAAGUCAAGGUUAGUGUUGGGAAUGUGCUAGAGUACUGUAAUUUUUUUUUUGUGUGUGUGUGGCUAUAGUAUGUUGCUUUAUGAACUUCUAACAAGCGUGCUGAUAUAUGAAAUCCUAGACAGGCAAAUUACUGUACUUAAAUAAGCAAAGUAUGUUUAUUAGUUAGGCAAAAUACUGUUAUUGAUCAAGCAAAGUAUUAUUUUU